rnacentral:rRNA from 1 species
UACGAAGGGUGCGAGCGUUAAUCGGAAUUACUUGGCGUAAAGCGUGCGCAGGCGGCUUUGCAAGACAGAUGUGAAAUCCCCGGGCUCAACCUGGGAACUGCAUUUGUGACUGCAAGGCUAGAGUACGGCAGAGGGGGAUGGAAUUCGGCGUGUAGCAGUGAAAUGCGUAGAUAUGCGGAGGAACACCAAUGGCGAAGGCAAUCCCCUGGGCCUGUACUGACGCUCAUGCAC